GGUAGGGCCAGUUUGAGUGUGAUGGUCACAGCAAUAGACUGUCAAGAACUGCUCGAAAGGCUUUCAGCGCGUAUGGAGACUGAAAGGUGCUCUUCUUUGCAAGAAAACAAUGUUGAGGCUGACGACGUGCAGGAUAUGAAUGAAAUUGAAAAAGUUGAGGAAUCUGAGACAGCUGAAGAAGCUACAAAUGGCUGAAGUUACUGUAAAUUCUAAGUUUUUAUGCUAAUUUACGUGCAUUAGUCUUUGGCGUUAUUACUGACACAGCAGAGUACUGCUUUCUUCCGGCC
rnacentral:misc_RNA from 1 species